AACGCAUGCUACCCGCGACCGAGCGUGAGAGAGAGAUCGGGAGAGGAGUGACGCAGUCGGAGCUCAGGAGCGGCAAGAAGAGAGAAAAGCGGAGGAGCGCCGUCGACGGCUUGCGUCCAGAGUCGCUCUAUCCUCGAUAGAUGGCUUAGGAGGGUCAUAGAGGUGUCCCAAUGGUGUCAUGACCUUACCCCCCAGAACUUGGGCAGUUGCGCAGCAAUUUCUCGCCGAAGUAGAGGAACCACCGCAAUUCCGCCCUCCGCCGUGGUCAGUGCUCCUGCUUGUGUGGCG
rnacentral:lncRNA from 7 species